GUCGGCCUCUGCUCUCGUGUCAGCAGUGAUGGGAGCAGAGGGAACGGCUUCAAGCUACGGCAGGGGAGAUUCAAGCUGGACAUGAGGAAGAAUUGCUGGUCAGAAAGGUGGGCAGCACUGCAAUGGAUGCCCAGGGAGGUGGGGGAGGCACCGAGCCUGGGGGUGUUGAAGGAAAGACUGGAUGUUGUGUUGACGGACAUGGUUCAGUGGGAGCUGUUGGGAAUGGGGGAACGGUUGGACUGGAUGGGCUUGGAGGUCUGAUCCAACCUUGAGGAUGCUGUGAUUCUAUGAUUCUAUGAUACUUAAGAGGAAAAACAGGGAUUUCUAUGAAAAUAAGCGAUAUUUUAGGGGAAAAACAGGGAUUUCUAUGAAAAUAAGCGAUAUUUAAGGUUAAAAACAGGGAUUUCUAUGAAAAUAAGCGAUAUUUGAGGGGAAAAACAGGGAUUUCUAUGAAAAUAAGCGAUAUUUUAGGUUAAAAACAGGGAUUUCUAUGAAAAUAAGCGAUAUUUAAGGUUAAAAACAGGGAUUUCUAUGAAAAUAAGCGAUAUUUUAGGGGAAAAACAGGGAUUUCUAUGAAAAUAAGCGAUAUUUUAGGGGAAAAACAGGGAUUUCCAUGAAAGUAAGCGAUAUUUAAGGGGAAAAACAGGGAUUUCUAUGAAAAUAAGCGAUAUUUAAGGUUAAAAACAGGGAUUUCUAUGAAAAUAAGCGAUAUUUAAGGUUAAAAACAGGGAUUUCUAUGAAAAUAAGCGAUAUUUUAGGGGAAAAACAGGGAUUUCCAUGAAAGUAAGCGAUAUUUUAGGGGAAAAACAGGGAUUUCUAUGAAAAUAAGCGAUAUUUAAGGUUAAAAACAGGGAUUUCUAUGAAAAUAAGCGAUAUUUAAGGUUAAAAACAGGGAUUUCUAUGAAAAUAAGCGAUAUUUUAGGGGAAAAACAGGGAUUUCUAUGAAAAUAAGCGAUAUUUUAGGGGAAAAACAGGGAUUUCUAUGAAAAUAAGCGAUAUUUAAGGUUAAAAACAGGGAUUUCUAUGAAAAUAAGCGAUAUUUAAGGUUAAAAACAGGGAUUUCUAUGAAAAUAAGCGAUAUUUAAGGUUAAAAACAGGGAUUUCUAUGAAAAUAAGCGAUAUUUUAGGGGAAAAACAGGGAUUUCCAUGAAAGUAAGCGAUAUUUUAGGGGAAAAACAGGGAUUUCUAUGAAAAUAAGCGAUAUUUAAGGUUAAAAACAGGGAUUUCUAUGAAAAUAAGCGAUAUUUAAGGUUAAAAACAGGGAUUUCUAUGAAAAUCAGCGAUAUUUAAGGGGAAAAACAGGGAUUUCUAUGAAAAUAAGCGAUAUUUAAGGUAAAAAACAGGGAUUUCUAUGAAAAUAAGCGAUAUUUAAGGGGAAAAACAGGGAUUUCUAUGAAAAUAAGCGAUAUUUUAGGUUAAAAACAGGGAUUUCUAUGAAAAUAAGCGAUAUUUAAGGUUAAAAACAGGGAUUUCUAUGAAAAUAAGCGAUAUUUAAGGUUAAAAACAGGGAUUUCUAUGAAAAUAAGCGAUAUUUUAGGGGAAAAACAGGGAUUUCUAUGAAAAUAAGCGAUAUUUCAGGUUAAAAACAGGGAUUUCUAUGAAAAUAAGCGAUAUUUAAGGUUAAAAACAGGGAUUUCUAUGAAAAUAAGCGAUAUUUUAGGUUAAAAACAGGGAUUUCUAUGAAAAUAAGCGAUAUUUCAGGUUAAAAACCGGGAUUUCUAUGAAAAUAAGCGACAUUUAAGGUUAAAAACAGGGAUUUCUAUGAAAAUAAGCGAUAUUUAAGGUUAAAAACAGGGAUUUCUAUGAAAAUAAGCGAUAUUUUAGGUUAAAAACAGGGAUUUCUAUGAAAAUAAGCGAUAUUUUAGGUUAAAAACAGGGAUUUCUAUGAAAAUAAGCGAUAUUUAAGGUUAAAAACAGGGAUUUCUAUGAAAAUAAGUGAUAUUUAAGGUUAAAAACAGGGAUUUCUAUGAAAAUAAGCGAUAUUUCAGGUUAAAAACAGGGAUUUCUAUGAAAAUAAGCGAUAUUUAAGGGGAAAAACAGGGAUUUCUAUGAAAAUAAGCGAUAUUUCAGGUUAAAAAGCGGGAUUUCUAUGAAAAUAAGCGACAUUUAAGGUUAAAAACAGGGAUUUCUAUGAAAAUAAGCGAUAUUUAAGGUUAAAAACAGGGAUUUCUAUGAAAAUAAGCGAUAUUUUAGGUUAAAAACAGGGAUUUCUAUGAAAAUAAGCGAUAUUUUAGGGGAAAAAUAGGGAUUUCUAUGAAAAUAAGCGAUAUUUAAGGGGUAAAACAGGGAUUUCUAUGAAAAUAAGCGAUAUUUAAGGUUAAAACCAGGGAUUUCGAUGAAAAUAAGCGAUAUUUAAGGUUAAAAACAGGGAUUUCUAUGAAAAUAAGCGAUAUUUAAGGUUAAAAACAGGGAUUUCUAUGAAAAUAAGCGAUAUUUUAGGUUAAAAACAGGGAUUUCUAUGAAAAUAAGCGAUAUUUAAGGUUAAAAACAGGGAUUUCGAUGAAAAUAAGCGAUAUUUAAGGUUAAAAACAGGGAUUUCUAUGAAAAUAAGCGAUAUUUAAGGUUAAAAACAGGGAUUUCUAUGAAAAUAAGCGAUAUUUUAGGUUAAAAACAGGGAUUUCUAUGAAAAUAAGCGAUAUUUAAGGUUAAAAACAGGGAUUUCUAUGAAAAUGAGCGAUAUUUAAGGUUAAAAACAGGGAUUUCUAUGAAAAUAAGCGAUAUUUAAGGUUAAAAACAGGGAUUUCUAUGAAAAUAAGCGAUAUUUAAGGUUAAAAACAGGGAUUUCUAUGAAAAUAAGCGAUAUUUUAGGGGAAAAACAGGGAUUUCUAUGAAAAUAAGCGAUAUUUAAGGUUAAAAACAGGGAUUUCUAUGAAAAUAAGCGAUAUUUAAGGUUAAAAACAGGGAUUUCUAUGAAAAUAAGCGAUAUUUUAGGGGAAAAACAGGGAUUUCUAUGAAAAUAAGCGAUAUUUAAGGUUAAAAACAGGGAUUUCUAUGAAAAUAAGGGAUAUUUAAGGUUAAAAACAGGGAUUUCUAUGAAAAUGAGCGAUAUUUAAGGUUAAAAACAGGGAUUUCUAUGAAAAUAAGCGAUAUUUAAGGUUAAAAACAGGGAUUUCUAUGAAAAUAAGCGAUAUUUAAGGUUAAAAACAGGGAUUUCUAUGAAAAUGAGCGAUAUUUAAGGUUAAAAACAGGGAUUUCUAUGAAAAUAAGCGAUAUUUAAGGUUAAAAACAGGGAUUUCUAUGAAAAUAAGCGAUAUUUAAGGUUAAAAACAGGGAUUUCUAUGAAAAUAAGCGAUAUUUAAGGUUAAAAACAGGGAUUUCUAUGAAAAUAAGCGAUAUUUUAGGGGAAAAACAGGGAUUUCUAUGAAAAUAAGCGAUAUUUAAGGUUAAAAACAGGGAUUUCUAUGAAAAUAAGCGAUAUUUUAGGGGAAAAACAGGGAUUUCUAUGAAAAUAAGCGAUAUUUAAGGUUAAAACAGGGAUUUCUAUGAAAAUAAGCGAUAUUUAAGGUUAAAAACAGGGAUUUCUAUGAAAAUAAGCGAUAUUUUAGGGGAAAAACAGGGAUUUCUAUGAAAAUAAGCGAUAUUUUAGGUUAAAAACAGGGAUUUCUAUGAAAAUAAGCGAUAUUUAAGGUUAAAAACAGGGAUUUCUAUGAAAAUAAGUGAUAUUUAAGGUUAAAAACAGGGAUUUCUAUGAAAAUAAGCGAUAUUUAAGGUUAAAAACAGGGAUUUCUAUGAAAAUAAGCGAUAUUUAAGGUUAAAAACAGGGAUUUCUAUGCAA